rnacentral:rRNA from 1 species
GAUGAACGCUAGCUACAGGCUUAACACAUGCAAGUCGAGGGGAAACGACAUCGAAAGCUUGCUUUUGAUGGGCGUCGACCGGCGCACGGGUGAGUAACGCGUAUCCAACCUGCCCACCACUUGGGGAUAACCUUGCGAAAGUAAGACUAAUACCCAAUGAUAUCUCUAGAAGACAUCUGAAAGAGAUUAAAGAUUUAUCGGUGAUGGAUGGGGAUGCGUCUGAUUAGCUUGUUGGCGGGGUCACGGCCCACCAAGGCAACGAUCAGUAGGGGUUCUGAGAGGAAGGUCCCCCACAGGGGAACUGGGACACGGGCCAAACGCCUACGGGAGGCAGCAGUGAGGAAGAUUGGUCAAGGGACGAGAGUCUGAACCAGCCAAGUAGCGUGCAGGAAGACGGCCCUAGGGGUUGUAAACUGCUUUUAGAAGGGAAUAAAGUGAGUCUCGUGAGACUUUUUGCAUGUACCUUAUGAAUAAGGACCGGCUAAUUCCGUG